AGCGAACGCUGGCGGCAGGCUUAACACAUGCAAGUCGAGCGGGCAUCUUCGGAUGUCAGCGGCAGACGGGUGAGUAACACGUGGGAACGUACCCUUCGGUUCGGAACAACUCUGGGAAACUGGAGCUAAUACCGGAUACGCCCUUAUGGGGAAAGGUUUACUGCCGAAGGAUCGGCCCGCGUCUGAUUAGCUAGUUGGUGGGGUAACGGCCUACCAAGGCGACGAUCAGUAGCUGGUCUGAGAGGAUGAUCAGCCACACUGGGACUGAGACACGGCCCAGACUCCUACGGGAGGCAGCAGUGGGGAAUAUUGGACAAUGGGCGCAAGCCUGAUCCAGCCAGGCCGCGUGAGUGAUGAAGGCCUUAGGGUUGUAAAGCUCUUUUGUCCGGGACGAUAAUGACGGUACCGGAAGAAUAAGCCUCGGCUAACUUCGU
rnacentral:rRNA from 1 species